GAGUAAUGUCUGGGAAACUGCCUGAUGGAGGGGGAUAACUACUGGAAACGGUGGCUAAUACCGCAUAACGUCGCAAGACCAAAGAGGGGGACCUUCGGGCCUCUUGCCAUCAGAUGUGCCCAGAUGGGAUUAGCUUGUUGGUGAGGUAACGGCUCACCAAGGCGACGAUCCCUAGCUGGUCUGAGAGGAUGACCAGCCACACUGGAACUGAGACACGGUCCAGACUCCUACGGGAGGCAGCAGUGGGGAAUAUUGCACAAUGGGCGCAAGCCUGAUGCAGCCAUGCCGCGUGUAUGAAGAAGGCCUUCGGGUUGUAAAGUACUUUCAGCGGGGAGGAAGGUGUUGUGGUUAAUAACCGCAGCAAUUGACGUUACCCGCAGAAGAAGCACCGGCUAACUCCGUGCCAGCAGCCGCGGUAAUACGGAGGGUGCAAGCGUUAAUCGGAAUUACUGGGCGUAAAGCGCACGCAGGCGGUCUGUCAAGUCGGAUGUGAAAUCCCCGGGCUCAACCUGGGAACUGCAUUCGAAACUGGCAGGCUUGAGUCUUGUAGAGGGGGGUAGAAUUCCAGGUGUAGCGGUGAAAUGCGUAGAGAUCUGGAGGAAUACCGGUGGCGAAGGCGGCCCCCUGGACAAAGACUGACGCUCAGGUGCGAAAGCGUGGGGAGCAAACAGGAUUAGAUACCCUGGUAGUCCACGCCGUAAACGAUGUCUACUUGGAGGUUGUGCCCUUGAGGCGUGGCUUCCGGAGCUAACGCGUUAAGUAGACCGCCUGGGGAGUACGGCCGCAAGGUUAAAACUCAAAUGAAUUGACGGGGGCCCGCACAAGCGGUGGAGCAUGUGGUUUAAUUCGAUGCAACGCGAAGAACCUUACCUGGUCUUGACAUCCACGGAAGAAUUCAGAGAUGGAUUUGUGCCUUCGGGAACCGUGAGACAGGUGCUGCAUGGCUGUCGUCAGCUCGUGUUGUGAAAUGUUGGGUUAAGUCCCGCAACGAGCGCAA
rnacentral:rRNA from 1 species